rnacentral:rRNA from 1 species
UACGUAGGGGGCGAGCGUUGUCCGGAUUCAUUGGGCGUAAAGGCGCGAGUGUAGGCGGGUUCGGUAGGUCUCGUGUCAAAUCCUGCGGACUCAACCGCAGUCCGCACGGGAAACCACCUUACUAGAGUCCGGAAGAGGAGUAGCGGAAUUCCGAGGUGUAGCGGUGAAAUGCGCAGAUAUCUGGAAAGAACACCAGUGGCG